rnacentral:sRNA from 32 species
CCCGAUGCUUUCAUAUAGAUUCCGCGGGCUCAGGCUUUCGGAGAACGGUGAUGGAUUCCAUGGUCCCAUUGCCGUUUACAUA